UGAUACGGACGAACAGACGCCAAUACAGCCGCACUACAGGCCAUCUUAUACAACCGUAUUGGAGAUGUAGGGUUUAUCUUAGCCAUGGCCUGAUUCCUAGCCAACCUAAACACCUGAGAUCUACAACAAAUCUUCAUAACCGACCACAAAAAUCUGAACCUCCCUCUCAUAGGCCUAUUAUUAGCAGCUACCGGAAAAUCCGCACAAUUUGGCCUCCACCCAUGAUUGCCCUCGGCCAUAGAAGGUCCAACCCCUGUAUCAGCCCUACUGCAUUCAAGCACUAUGGUUGUGGCAGGAGUAUUUCUGCUAAUCCGAUUCCAUCCCCUAAUAGAACAUAACAAAACAAUUCAAACCAUCACACUGUGUCUAGGAGCAAUCACAACCCUAUUUACAGCAAUUUGUGCCCUAACACAAAACGACAUCAAAAAAAAUUAUUGCUUUCUCCACUUCAAGCCAACUCGGACUAAUAAUCGUAACCAUCGGCAUCAAUCAGCCCUACCUAGCGUUUCUCCAUA